rnacentral:lncRNA from 1 species
CCUUAUAUGUUUAGUGACAUUGAUCGAUCUAUCGAAUAUCAAAUUUUAAAAUACCUUAUAAAUAUUUUAAUUAAUUUGGCUAUUUUUAAUAGUAAUAAUAAUAAAAAAAACAAUAUAACACAAACAAUUAUACUUAUAUUGUACUCCAAAAUUACAAGUUCCUAAACAUAAACUAGAGUUAGUUGGAGUUUGGUUUAGAGAUAAAAUUUAAAACGGGAAAAAGAAAGAAGAAGAAAAAAGAAAGAAAUGAAAAGAAGUAAGCCUGAUGUCACAUGUGAAGCUUUGACCCCAAAAAUCACCCGCAAAAUUGCGCCAAUACGUGCCAUGACUCCUUUAGCAUGGCCCAGGAGUAGCCCAACGUGGUCCCGAGACAGCCCAAGGGUGACCAGGACAUAUGCCCAUGACAUUGGCAGGCACCUCUCGAGGACAGCUCACAGGCCCCGCACGCGUGCCACGAAAAGGGUUGCUUGCAAAGAGUACAACUAAUGCUCGAGCGGGGAUUCAACUGGUAUGCCUCCCCUAUAAUACAUUUUGAACAUUUUCAGCUCUGGCAGGCUUGCAUAUGAAAAUGCCGAAACGUCACACCCAAGCUUUAUGACCUAGAAUGAAAAGCAAACACCUAUGGUGGGAUUUUAAUUUCCAUAUUAAUCAAUUAACAUGCAUACAAUACAAUAUAACCUUUAUAUCAUACAUUUUAAUGCAUGGAACAUGUUAACCUAUGGUGGGAUUUUAAAUCUAUAUGACAUUCAAAAUGCACAUACAAAUUUAAAGUAAUUUAAUCAUACAUCACAUGCAUAAAUAAAAAAAAACACCCUAAAAUGGACUGAUUUUUGGCUCCUAAAUUAAGCUAAGUACUAAAUUAUUACAUAAUUACUUUGGUGUAGUACAGAACCACUCCCAAAAACUUCGAACCGGCUGAAAAACCAACCGAAACCGCUUGAACCGGCCCAGGCGCACACGGGUCGGCGAAGGCAGGCGCGGGGCGAAGGCAGGCGCGCGGGCAGCGGGCACGCGGGCGCAUGCGGGCGCGCGGCGCAUGCGGGCGCAGGAGGGCGCGCGGGCAUGCGGGCGCGUGCGGGUCGCGAAGCGGGUCAAGGCGGGUUUUCGGGUCUGUGACCUUCUUUUCUUCAUUUUUUUUCAAUUCUCUCACCCGGUUGAACCAGUUACAGCCUAACUUCAACUCUAAUGACUUUUUUUAUUUUUUUAAAAAUUACAAACACUUUGCAACAAUAAAAAUAAGCCAUUAACAAGGCUAAUUACAAUAAUUAGAACAAAAACACUUAAUCUAGAGCCAAAAUCAUAAUAUAUCCAUUUUAGUUCAAACCAAAAUUUAUCUAAUAAAUAUGAACCCACCACAUGCAAUUGGGUAAAAAUGAAGCAUGCUCUGAUACCACAUGAUAGAACUAAGUCAUGCACAGCGGAAAAAGAAUCGAAUUUCUACCCUAAUUGCCACAAUUAACAUGUAACCAUAAACUAAUCAAAUUAGGGUUUUAAGAAAUAUUACCUUUGAAGCUUUCAAAAGGUUUGAUAUCUUCUUACCAAUUCUAACCGAGACCACCACUAGUACUCAACUGCUAUCCUCUAGACAAAGAACCGGGUUGUGGGACCCAAUUUUGGUGUAGAAAGUAAUGGAGAUAAAAUGAGAUUGGAAGCUUUCUUUUUUCUUUUGUUGAGAUGAUGAAAAUGAUAAAAGAGGCAAAAGUUUUUUCAACAUUUGAAAACACCUCUAUUUAUAACCUAAUUACAUGAAAAAAUGCAUGCAAUUCAUUUGCCAAAUCUCAACACCUAAUGUUCCACUAACAAUUAGUGGAACUUAGUGGGCUAGGUGUCUAUAUCUCAUAUAGCCACAUAUCCCACUAAGAGUUAGUGGGAUUAUCCAACAAAAUGUUGGAUUUUCCCACUAACUUAGUCCAAGGGUAAAAUGGUCAUUAGAUAUUUCUAGUCAAAAGUCAAACUUUGACUUUUCUUAGUCAAAAGUCAAUAUUUUGACUUUUUACCAUUUUGUCCGUCUUGACUAAUUCCAACCUCUCGAGCAUGAAUCCGCAUUCAUUUCUCCAAAAUUCAAAUCACAUUUGAAUAUAAGGCCUGUCAAAGUUUGACUUUUCAAAGUCAAAAGUCAACAUUUUGACUUUUUACUAUUUUUGACCAAUUCUAUCAAUUCCGAGCUUCUUAGUAUGAAUCCGCAUUCAUACUUAUAGUAUGUAAAACAUAAAGCUCUAUUUCUAAUUAGAAGACCGACGACUAUAUCACUAUAUUUGUCGGUUUCCCUUUCUUCUCCCAAUUCGAACAAUUCGACUUAUUUCAUCACACUGUUCUAAGUUUAAUCCAUAUGAGCUAGCAGAGGAACCUAAUGGACCUAUAGAUCAUGGGCUCCAACGAUUCAAGAUUAACUAGCUAAACUCUUUUAAACCGAGUUAAUCAACAUUCGUUAACUAACGGGUCAUUCCACUAAAGUCCCGUAGUUGCACUCCCCUCACUAUAGAUAUAUUUGUGUCCAUUUGAUAAAACCAUAAUCAGUAAGUUAAUCCUUCACAGGUUGCU